rnacentral:lncRNA from 1 species
AUGCAGCCUCAAAAGAAUGACAAGAAUAAGAAGCAGGAAGACUUCCGGCCUUCCUGCUUCUUACUGCUACAUUUCUUCUUAAACAGGGGGAUCAUUUUGAAAGAAAGCACCCUCUUGCAAGAUGAGGACAAUUUUCAACUCCAGGUUUUGGUCUCCUAUCAAGAAAAGGAUAUGGGGGUUUUAAUGAGACUGAUGAAACUACUCAGGAAGAUAAGAAAUCCCAACAAGUUUGAACACAGCUUGAUACACCAACGGUCAACCUUAUUUGGCUCCUAAAUUCUGUUUUUCUUCAUUUGGAUCUCUACCUUUUCAUCUGUCAUUGCUGCACAGACUUUAAAUUCAGUGUCAAAUCUCAAAUACAUUGCUGAUAAAAAAAAUCUUUAGUUAUAUACAUAGGUUUCUAACCUUAGUCAUGAUUUGUUUUCCCUUUUGUACAUGAUAGUAUUGAAAGGAGUGACUUAGACAUAGGUUUAUAGAAAGGACUUAGAAAUUCAGAAAAUUUCCCAAGGCUACUAAACCUGCUUAAACCCCCCAAGAAUUCCCUCUUACGUAUAACCUCCAUCUUCCUUUAAAUUUAACGAACAUAGUUUAAAUAUUCUUUGCAAGGCCCUUCUCUCACUUUUAGCCAUUAUAUUGGAACAACUUUUUUUUCCUUACACUUUUUCAAAAUUCUAAGUCACAGAAAAAUUUGUGGCUCGCCUAUUUGAAAAUUCUACCGAAUUUAUCAAGAGCUAAAAUCAAUCCAAAGGCAAAACAAAAACAGCCAAAUGUAGAAAAUUAUCAAACUAUUUUUUUUCUUUUUUCUUUUUGAAGUCAGUCAUUCUAGUUAUCUUUGAAACUCUAUACCAUGAUAUCUGUAACCAGUUCACUAGGAGCCUUGAUUGCUCAUCUUCCUUUUCAAAAACCAAGAAAUUCCAUUAUUUUCAGGGACUCCAACAUUCUUCUGAUGUUUUCAAAAUGGAAAAUCAUCCCAUCUUUUAAAAUAAUAUUGUAACUAUAUCACGGGAUACUUUAAAAUAUACAUAUAAACAUAUUAUAAA